rnacentral:rRNA from 1 species
CCAAUAGCGUAUAUUAAAGUUGUUGCAGUUAAAAAGCUCGUAGUUGAAUUUCGGGAUCAAAUAAUCGGUCGUGCCUCCGGUACGCACUGGUUUUAUUGGUUCCUCCCUUCUGACGAACCAUGAUGUCAUUAAUUUGAUGUGGUGGAGAAUCAGGACUGUUACCUUGAAAAAAUUAGAGUGUUUAAAGCAGGCUAACGCUUGAAUACAUUAGCAUGGAAUAAUGAAAUAGGACGUUCGACCCUAUUUUGUUGGUUUCUAGGAUCGACGUAAUGAUUAAUAGGGAUAGUUGGGGGCAUUAGUAUUCAAUUGUCAGAGGUGAAAUUCUUGGAUUUAUUGAAGACUAACUACUGCGAAAGCAUUUGCCAAGGAUGUUUUCAUUAAUCAAGAACGAAAGUUAGGGGAUCGAAGACGAUCAGAUACCGUCGUAGUCUUAACCAUAAACUAUGCCGACUAGGGAUCGGAUGAUGUUAAUUUUUUAAUGACUCAUUCGGCGCCUUACG